UACGAAGGGGGCUAGCGUUGCUCGGAAUUACUGGGCGUAAAGGGCGCGUAGGCGGAUAGUUCAGUCAGAGGUGAAAGCCCAGGGCUCAACCUUGGAAUUGCCUUUGAUACUGGCUAUCUUGAGUUCGGGAGAGGUGAGUGGAAUGCCGAGUGUAGAGGUGAAAUUCGUAGAUAUUCGGCGGAACACCAGUGGCGAAGGCGACUCACUGGCCCGAUACUGACGCUGAGGCGCGAAAGCGUGGGGAGCGAACAGG
rnacentral:rRNA from 1 species